UAAGCAUAUCAAUAAGCGGAGGAAAAGAAACCAACAGGGAUUGCCCUAGUAACGGCGAGUGAAGCGGCAACAGCUCAAAUUUGAAAUCUGGCGCAAGCCCGAGUUGUAAUUUGUAGAGGAUGCUUCUAGGUAGCGACCGGUCUAAGUUCCUUGGAACAGGACGUCAUAGAGGGUGAGAAUCCCGUAUGUGACCGGCCCGCACCUUCUACGUAGCUCCUUCGACGAGUCGAGUUGUUUGGGAAUGCAGCUCUAAAUGGGAGGUAAAUUUCUUCUAAAGCUAAAUACCGGCCAGAGACCGAUAGCGCACAAGUAGAGUGAUCGAAAGAUGAAAAGCACUUUGGAAAGAGAGUUAAAAAGCACGUGAAAUUGUUGAAAGGGAAGCGCUCACAACCAGACUUCUGGGCGGUGUUCCGCCGGUCUUCUGACCGGUCUACUCACCGUCCCGAGGCCAACAUCAUCUGGGACCGCUGGAUAAGACCUCAGGAAUGUAGCUUCCCUCGGGAAGUGUUAUAGCCUGUGGUGAUGCAGCGCGUCUCGGGUGAGGUCCGCGCUUCGGCAAGGAUGUUGGCGUAAUGGUUGUCAGCGGCCCGUCUUGAAACACGGACCAAGGAGUCUAACAUCUAUGCGAGUGUUCGGGUGUCAAACCCCUACGCGUAAUGAAAGUGAACGGAGGUGGGAAGCGUAAGCUGCACCAUCGACCGAUCCUGAUGUCCUCGGAUGGAUUUGAGUAAGAGCAUAGCUGUUGGGACCCGAAAGAUGGUGAACUAUGCCUGAAUAGGGUGAAGCCAGAGGAAACUCUGGUGGAGGCUCGCAGCGGUUCUGACGUGCAAAUCGAUCGUCAAAUUUGGGUAUAGGGGCGAAAGACUAAUCGAACCAU
rnacentral:rRNA from 1 species